GAUCCCGUACCUGUCACGUGUGUGGAAACCCUCAUGGUUUGAUCUGGAAGUACAGCCUCAUGUGCUGCAGGCAGUGCUUCCGCAGCAAUGCCAAGGAAAUCGGCUUCAUCAAGUACCGUUAAGUGGAUGAUAUUCAAACAUUCCAGGAGUCGAUGAUCUGGCCCAAGAAGAGUACUAGUAGUAGUGGUUUCUGAGUUCUCAUGAAAUUUUAAGAAGAUAUUUUUGUUUUAGCUGAACUUCUGUUGAACUUGAUUUGGUUGUCAGACUAAGAAUAUUGUGUUAUUAAUGAAUUAAAGUUUGAUUUAUGUUC